GAGUCACUUUGAGAGGACUAUUCCUAAAAGCCAAAUUUAACAACACAUCCAGCCUCAGACUCAGGUCCCUGGACUUUGGGACUCAUUCUGCUCGACUUGAUCCCUGCUCUGCCCAUUGAUCACAUACACACGUUUACACCUGGCAGAAGAGGAAGAGGAGGCAUGAAGGAAUGGCCUCUUCAGAAUGGAGAAAAGCCUUCCCCAUGAGAACAUGCCUAAGACAGACUGCUGAAGAAGGCGGCAAAUGGAACAGCGCUGAAUCAGCCUGGUCAUCCCAGUCAAGCCUCCAGACAUAAUAUGAAAGUUCAUCAGCAAGCCAGCACACAGGGAAAGCAUAUUGAAAUGAGCAUUAUGGAUCUGUCAGGCUGGAGU
rnacentral:lncRNA from 10 species